rnacentral:rRNA from 1 species
GACGUAGGGUGCAAGCGUUGUCCGGAUUUAUUGGGCGUAAAGAGCGUGUAGGCGGUCCGGUAAGUCCGCUGUGAAAGUCGGGGGCUCAACCCUCGAAUGCCGGUGGAUACUGUCGGGCUAGAGUGCGGAAGAGGCGAGUGGAAUUCCUGGUGUAGCGGUGAAAUGCGCAGAUAUCAGGAGGAACACCUAUUGCGAAGGCAGCUCGCUGGGACGUAACUGACGCUGGAGACGCGAAAGCGUGGGGAGCAAACAGG